GGAGACGUGGCUGAGUGGCCGAAAGCGGCACCGUGCUAAGGUGUUAGGCUCGAAAGGGCCUCGUGGGUUCGAAUCCCACCGUCUCCG
rfam:Candidatus Taylorbacteria bacterium RIFCSPLOWO2_01_FTLL_48_100 rifcsplowo2_01_scaffold_2501, whole genome shotgun sequence.